GACGUUGGUCUUCAUCAAACAACCACCACCACAAUGGCGGCCAAUCCCCCUCGCAACAUUGUGGCCAAGCAAUCUUACUAUAAUAGCGUAUUUAAAUCUCGGACAGCACCUGCACGAUAUUUCUGGUCCAGCCUCAUUCCAAUACUUCAAGACUCUUGUUUGAUAUAUCUGUGCAACAUCAUGAGAAGUUUGCUGGAGAAGAUGCCUCUUGGAUGUUGCAGACAAGAACAAUACAUUGAAAAUGAAUGUAACGUCGCAUUCUCCUAGCAAGAUUAAAAGCCUUUUUGCUAUCGUUUCCUCUGCCUUUUCAGGCAAUCUUGGGGAACCUUAGCAUAAUUACCAGGUCAGCAUGACAGAAGACGCACCAAAAAGCAUCAAACACAAAGAAAGAUUCGUAUUCCAUCGUAUUUCAUCGACCGCGAAAGGAAGAAAGGCAAAGCCGACCUCAAUGGAAUUUAAA